GACGAACGCUGGCGGCGUGCUUAACACAUGCAAGUCGAACGAAGUGGCGAACGGGUGAGUAACGCGUAAUCAACAUGCCCUUCAGAGGGGGACAACAGUUGGAAACGACUGCUAAUAUCGCAUACUGAAGGAGGGGAUUGCGUCUGAUUAGCUAGUUGGAGGGGUAAAGGCCCACCAAGGCGAUGAUCAGUAGCCUGUCUUAGAGGGAUGACGGCCACAUUGGGACGGAGACACGGCCCAGACUCCUACGGGAGGGAGCAGUGGGGGAUCUUCCGCAAUGGACGAAAGUCUGACGGCGCAAAGCCGCGUGAGUGAUUACGGCCUUCGGGUUGUAAAGCUCUGUUAAUCGGGACGCGGUACCGGAAUAGAAAGCCACGGCUAACUACGUGCCAGCCGCCGCGGUAAUAC
rnacentral:rRNA from 1 species